GGGAUUCCCCGAGUAGCGGCGAGCGAAACGGGAAGAGCCCAGCGCUGAAUCCUGCGGCCCCGGCGGGCCGCCGGGAAAUGUAGCGUUCGGGAGGAGAGUUAUACAUACACGCGCGGUCAUUAGUCACGGCUGCCUGUCCAAGUUCAUCUUGAACGGGGCCCGCUUACCCGCAGAGGGUGCCAGGCCCGUGGUGACGGUAGCCGGCCGCGACGGUCUCUCUCCCUAGAGUCGGGUUGCUUGAGAGUGCAGCCCUAAGUGGGUGGUAAACUCCAUCUAAGGCUAAAUACUACCACGAGACCGAUAGCGAACANNGUGAGGGAAAGUUGAAAAGAACUUUGAAGAGAGAGUUAAAGAGUACGUGAAACCGUUCAGGGGUAAACCUGUGGAACUCAAACGAGCGAACGGGGAGAUCAUCGUGUCUUCCGCCGGGGCCCGCGUCCCGCGCCACACCUCCGCCUUCGGCUCUCGGGUCGGGGUGGGGGGUGCGCGGGUGCGCAGCCGGGUCCCCGGAGCGCGUGCACUUCUCCCUUAGUAUAACACCGCGACCCGUCGCGCCGCGGUCGAAUGCGCCGUGCGGUUGUCCCGUCUCGCUCUGCGAAGGCGGAGCCGCGGCGUCCACGGCCGCGGCGUACCAAUAUCAUACGCAGCGACGGUAGAGAACGAGGAUCGCGUCCGCCCCCAGCGGGCGUCCGUCGCGCCGCAGCGGUGUCCUUCGCGUGGCCCCCGGCUCCCAGUGGGUCGCGGGUGUCGCGUGUCGGGCGCCGUCGUUAGUGGCGCGCUCUCGGACGGGACGCGUCCCGGUCGGCGGUGGUUUUGUUUUGGGCACUCACAGGACCCGUCUUGAAACACGGACCAAGGAGUCUAGCAUGUGCGCGAGUCAUUGGGAACGUUGAUAAACCCAGAGGCGAAAUGAAAGUGAAAGGCCGGCCUCGAGCCGGUCGCAGGGAAGAUGCGCGGACGGCGUCAGCCGUCCCGCCGCAUUCCCGAGGCGUUUCGAGAAAGCCACCGUGCGAUUAUCGAGACGCACUGAGAGCGUACACGCUGGGACCCGAAAGAUGGUGAACUAUGCCUGG
rnacentral:rRNA from 1 species